ACAUGUCUGAACCUGUUUCCUUGUUUCUUCUGGUGGUUACCCACUUUCUUCUCCCCCGGUUCAGGGAAAGUGGGGAAAAAAGGUUUGCCUUUGCCCAGCAGCACUGCAGGUGUCUGUCCCUCUGAAAGAGUCCCAGUGGUGUGGGCGUGCUGGAAAGAAAAAUCCCCAGUGACUUCACCCAGCUUGGCUUGUGGUGGUUACUCACAAUGAGGUUCUUGUCCUCAUUUCUCUCCAGCCUUUCCACUGUUAUUACAGCUCUGGUAUCCUACAGCAAGUAAGAACAUAACAUUACAACUGUUCACACGUGGGAGAUGGAGGAACUGCAUUAAGAGCCCAUCAGAUAGGAAGACUUGGUGUGAGAACCAUAUGGAAGGGAAGAAGACCCAAGAUGCAAGUUUAUGGAUUGCAAGACAGGAGGCCAAACACCGAAACAGCAUCUAACAGAAUGGCCAUGAUUGCAUGUGGAGCUGCUUCAGAAUGAAGCUCAUGAUCUUGGACCUCUUUUCUGAAUAUAUGUAUGAAGAUGCUUCAUAAAACAAAUCAUAGAGGACUUCUUACAGUGUAUGGAAUUGCACAAGGAUAAGAUGUAAUUUAACUAUGCAUGUGUACCAGGAUUUGCAUGAUUAAUUUUUACUGCAGUUAAAUCUGAUGGUAAAGCUAACCUGUGGAUCAAACAAUAAUUGCAAUAAGGGGGGAAAUUCAUGCUGUGUUUUUGCUACCUUGUCCUGCAAUAAGAUAAAAUAUCAAAUGGACAAUAUUUGCAAAGUUACUGUCACUUCUCAUCGGUCUAUUAUAUUUUGAUUAUAAACCUAAGAAAUUUAAACUUGAGGUAACAAUUUUUUGGCAUUAAAAACUUGGUGUUUACUUCUCAGUAAUUGAUCCAGAAUAAAGUAUAAUUUUUAAAUGCUAGAGAAUUAGAGCAGUUUUUCAGAAUGUGUGAAUUCAUUAACUUCUGUUUUGGAAGCACUUGUCAGAAUCACUGUUUUUUUACACAAUCAGUUGCUACAUAAAGGCAAAACAGGUUCUAAAAAUUAGCCUAGUUGUUACCUUGCAAGAAUUGUUACAGCUGGUUAUCUUUCUGCCCACACUAUGAACUUCAGUAUCCUACUUUUCACACAAGUAUUUUAUAUAAAUUUUCAGACAAUGGGUGCAAUGAUUCAAGGCUUGCUGCCUUUAUUUGAAAGUUAAUUUGGAUGAAAGUAAGGUUUGCAUUUAAAGUACAAAAGCUUUUCCUGUAUAAGUGCAUGUGUGGACAGUUCUAAUUCAGGAAUCAAAAUGUCUUCUGGUUUCACUUAAUCUACUUUUAAUAGUAGUGUUUAGCUUAAUCCUUCAUUGAAUUGGAGCGGGUCUACAUACCAGUCCACCUCUAAAUUAUGUUGGAAAGGGAGUAGCUUUUCUGAAUAACUACUAUUAAUUUUAGAAAUAUUUUUGCAACUAUUUAGGUCUAAGUUUGAUCUCGGCAUGCAUUGACAUGUACUGCAGCCUUUCAAAUCUCAAGUCUAAAUUUUUCAACUCAUCAAAUAACAGGCUGCAAUUUAAAUGCUCAGAAAACUGGGCUCUAAAACAGAAUUGAAGUAGUAUUGAGUAUUUGUGACUAACGUGUAACUUAGAUUUGUGGCUUUUACCAGUCUCAAGCUACAAUUGGUUCUCUGUUGCUUAUGGGUAUAGUAAUAGCAGCAUUUAACCAAAAAAGAGGCAGUGAUGAUGGUCAUUAAUUGAACAAAUUGAACUAUUGAUUGUUUCGAUAGAGGAAAUAAAGGCAUAUGCACAAAUCCCAUCAACCACUUACAUGGUGCUAUGACUUAGGAAUAAUUCCUUGUGUAAAGACUUAAGGCUGUCAGCUCUAAGGAGCAAGUCUUGUUAUCUCCAAGUGUCUGAACUGUGCUUAAUCAACUAGAAAUGUUAUAUGAUUGAGAACUUUAAACAUAAUUGUAAAACAUUAUAAAAACAUCUUUUUGGCAUUUACAUCAGUAGAUUCUGAGCGUUAAAAAUAAAAUCUUUGCGUUUAGUCUUUUGGGGAACUCAAGUAAUUAUUUUUUCAUUCUUUAUUUAUUUUUAAAUGAUCAUUUAAGCUUCUUAUGCAGUUUUUAGAAAGGCUGAUGUGCAUACCUGGGUUACUCUGAAGGUCAAAUACUCUGCAUAUUGAACAUUUCAAGCUGCUGUCCUGCUUAAGUU